CAAGGAAAUAAGGGCUUAAGGUGAAUACCUUGGCAUUCAGAAGCGAAGAAGGACGUGGUUACCGGCGAAACGCCUCGGGGAGUUGGAAACAAGCUUUGAUCCGGGGGUAUCCGAAUGAGGCAACUCUUUAAAACUUCUUGUUGAAUCUAUAGGCAAGAAAGAGCGAACCUGGAGAAUUGAAACAUCUUAGUAACCAGAGGAAUAGAAAGUAAAAACGAUUCUCUUAGUAGCGGCGAGCGAAAUGGGAACAGCCUAAACUUAAUUUUUCGAGAUUAAGGGUAGUGGGACAAUUAUAAAUGAUUAAAUGUGACAAUUAGACGAAUGGGUUGGAAUCCCUAACCAAAGAAAGUGAUAGUCUUGUAGUCGAAAAUUGAAACAAUCAAAUUGCAUCCCAAGUAGCAUGGAGCACGUGUAAUUCCGUGUGAAUCUGCGAGGACCACCUCGUAAGGCUAAAUAUUCCUGAAUGACCGAUAGUGAAAUAGUACCGUGAGGGAAAGGUGAAAAGUACCCCGGAAGGGGAGUGAAAGAGAACUUGAAACCGUGUGCUUACAAGUAGUCAGAGCCCGUUAAUGGGUGAUGGCGUACUUUUUGUAGAACGGACCGGCG
rnacentral:rRNA from 14 species